rnacentral:rRNA from 1 species
CGGAGGAUGCGAGCGUUAUCCGGAUUCAUUGGGUUUAAAGGGUGCGCAGGCGGUGGAGCAAGUCAGUGGUGAAAGCNCAAGGCUUAACCUUGGGAUUGCCAUUGAAACUGGUUCACUUGAGUGUAGUCGAGGACGGCGGAAUGAGUUGUGUAGCGGUGAAAUGCAUAGAUAUAACUCAGAACACCAAUUGCGGAGGCAGCUGUCCAGGCUACAACUGACGCUGAGGCACGAAAGCGUGGGGAGCGAACAGGAUUAGAUACCCUGGUAGUCCACGCUGUAAACGAUGAUCACUCGUUGUUGGCUACUUAGUAGUCAGUGACUAAGGGAAACCAUUAAGUGAUCCACCUGGGGAGUACGUCGGCAACGAUGAAACUCAAAGGAAUUGACGGGGGCCCGCACAAGCGGAGGAACAUGUGGUUUAAUUCGAUGAUACGCGAGGAACCUUACCUGGGCUUAAAUGCAGGCUGCAUUCACGUGAAAGCGUGAUUUCCUACGGGACUGCCAGCAAGGUGCUGCAUGGUUGUCGUCAGCUCGUGCCGUGAGGUGUCGGGUUAAGUCCCAUAACGAGCGCAACCCCUAUCGCUAGUUGCCAGCAUGUAAAGGUGGGGACUCUAGCGAGACUGCCGGUGUAAACCGGAGGAAGGUGGGGAUGACGUCAAGUCAGCACGGCCCUUACGUCCAGGGCUACACACGUGUUACAAUGGCCGGUACAAAGAGCAGCCACCUGGCGACAGGGCGCUAAUCUCAAAAGCCGGUCUCAGUUCGGAUCGAAGUCUGCAAUUCGACUUUGUGAAGAUG